rnacentral:rRNA from 1 species
UACGAGGGGGGCAAGCGUUGUUCGGAAUUAUUGGGCGUAAAGGGUGCGUAGGCGGUGCGGUAAGUCUGUUGUGAAAUCUCCGGGCUCAACUCGGAGUCUGCAUCAGAAACUGCCGUGCUGGAGUGUGGGAGAGGUGAGUGGAAUUCCCGGUGUAGCGGUGAAAUGCGUAGAGAUCGGGAGGAACACCUGCGGCGAAAGCGGCUCACUGGACCAUAACUGACGCUGAUGCGCGAAAGCUAGGGGAGCAAACAGG